UUUAGACAUAAUUUCCUUCAGUUAUUUGAGCACAUUGUAUUUAUAAUUGCUGAUUUAAAGACUUUGUUUACUAAGUCCACAAUCUGGGUACUUUCAAGGACAUUCUCUUUUUUGUUUGUUUGGUUGGUUUGGUUUGAUUCUUUUCCUGUGUAUGUGAUAUAUUUUCUUGUUUCCUUGCAUUCCUCAUGAUUUUUGUUGAAAACUAGACAUUUAGGUAAUAUGUUAUUUCAAUUCUAGUAUCGGAUUCCUCUGUCCCCAAGGUUUGCUGUUGCUGGUGUGGUGUUGUUGCUGUUGUUUUCUUAUUGGUGCUUAUUUGUUUAGUAACUUUCCUGGACUAAUUAUAGAUUCUGUGUUCUCUGCAACGUGUGGCCCCUGAGUUGAGUCUUCUGCUAGCUUUUGUUUUUUUUCUUAAGUUCUUGUUUUUAUUUUUAAAUCUGGCUUCUUAGGGAUCAUGCUUGGGAUCAAUAUAAUUUAAAGGUCAGGCAAUAACUGGUCAGAGUUUCUUAAAUGCCUUUCUUUUAUAUUUAUACCCUUUGCCAAAUGGAUCUAUAUGAGAAUGCAAACCUUCAAACUACAGUUUACAAGGCAGAUUUAGCUUUCACUUCCUGUUUAUUCAAACCCUCCAAGUCAGUCAGAGGGAGUGCCCAGUGACUUCUUUCCUAGAUUUUUCCUGGGCUUUCUCACAGCUGUUUAGUCUCCAAGAAAUAUGUGGAAACUUUUCAAAAUUCCUUAUGAUUUUCUAGUUCUGUUGGAUUUUCUUUUUAAAUUUCCAGCCAGCCUCUUGUUGGCCUCAACUGAAAUCACAGCUUCAGGCAGCUGAGAUGUUGCUGGGACUUGCCUUUGUUUUGAUAAAAAACCUGAGACAGAGAUUACCUAACUUGUCCAAGGUCACACUGCUGGUAACUGGCAGAUCCAACCUCAAGAAGUCUGAUACCAAAGAGAAUCAUUUUGAUGUUCCCCAUCUUCAAACCCAAUGAAUCACACAGACAAGGUAAAUAAUCGAAUAUUCUGUUGGCAGCCAGCAAAGGACGAUCUGUUGGGAGGCUGAAUUUCCCAAGAUCCUGUGUAGAAUAAAUCUCAUGGAAAUGUUUCAUUGAUCAUAUUAAGUGCCAGUCGAAAAUAAUAAGGUAUUUCAUUGGUAGUAGCUGCCUGUGACCAUCCAAACUGACGCUUUUUAAUUUGUUUCUUCUAAAGAGGCUCCAGAGUCUCAUAAAGGGAGCAUCAAAAAUUCUGCAGAGGCUCUAGAGUUUGAUCUCAACUUGUAGCGAUACAUGUAAUUACUGAAUGUGGGGGAGAGCAACAUAUAAAUAUUAAAAAGAAAAAGGAUGAUGAAGGCUGCAAGAAUUUUAUGAAGUUAUUAUAAUAGUUCUAUCUGGUUGCCCAUAUUCCAGUAUUCGAGUAGAACUAAAGAGAUUCUCGGGAUCCUGAAGAUUUUACCAGCUUUUCUUUAGACAACUUAACAUUUUGAUGAAGCCUCCUGUGCGAUGGUAUCAGUCAUAACUAUUUAUGAUUCCUGCAGUACAGCAGUGAAAGAGGCACAGUUCUAGCUGCUACACGCUAGAUCAUCUGACUAUAAAUGUGCUGUGUUACUGUAAGAAGUCGCUGCGGAGACUACCUCUUCACCAAACCCAUUCACUCUACUUCCUGCUCCAGCAGCAAGCCUUCCUUCCUCAGCUUGUCCUCAACUUCUGUGUGGCCCAGUGACUGAACGACUUCUAACCAAAGCUGUAUUUAGUUUAUGUGUGGUGGUUUCCUUUUCUGCUGCUAUUACUGAAAUUUGAUUCAAAGGUUUUUUUAAUCAGAAAAUGAGUUAUUACUUUUAUCAAAAUAUGUGUGUGUAUAUAUAUAUAUAUAUAUGUUCAUUAUCAAAAUUUUAUCUAUGAAAAAAUGUUAAGAAGAAUGUAAAAAAAAAAAUCCUGGGAAAUAACUACUGCCAAUACAUGAGAACAUAUUUCCAGACAUCUCUCUGUGCAGAGAGAGAGACAGACAGACAAAGAGAGGCUCUUUUAUACUUGCCACCUCUGAUUUCUCCAUCACAGUGUCACCCCCACAGUGCCAACUAGGAGGCUCAAACACUGUUCUAAGGAAGGGACCCUGAUCGAUUUGGCAAUGUUUCCAAAUCUUUCAGCUUUUGUUGUUGGUGGUGGUGAUGGUGGUGGUAUUUACCUUUUAAUGUGUGCUGUUUCCUCUUUCUUCUUUUAUCAAUUUCCUAUUAUAGUAGAGGAAGAUUUAGCAUUUUUAUUCCAUCUUUCUCUCAAUCUUGCUCCUCUUAUCCUAACAUUUAUACCACAAUUUCCAGCUAAAUCUCAAUUCAGUUUUUAACUUACGACCCUAAAAUGUUAUUUACUACUAACUCAACCAAUGCAUUAUGAUUAUGCUUUGUUUCUUAUAUUUUUAUUACCUUUUGGGGAGUGAAUAAUUCUCCAACAUUUUCCACUAUUUAUCAUGUAUCAUAUAUAAUAGACUAUAUAUAUAACAUAUUACAAGAUUUCUUCCAACACAUCUCUAAUGUUCUCUCAAAAUUAUUUCUAUGUGAUAAAAUGUGUCAGAUAACCUAGCUAUUUUUUUCUUUAGCCAGCUUGACUCCACACACUCCUCCCCCCCAUAUACACACUACACCACAGUAACCUGUUAAUCAAGCAAGGAUGUUUACUAAAUCUGCUGUAAGAACACCACCAUAAGGAAGAACACUACAUUGGCAGUGUCACAAUGAUAUUUUAGGCAAGAAAACUUAGGGGAGAAUAUUUCUAGGGCUUUGGAAUUUCAGCUCAAAUGGUUUAAGAUUGGGAAUUUACUGAGAUUAGGUGAUGUUAGUGAAAAAAUAGGUCAGAACAGGGAGACAAUGUUUUUGGAGUGAGUCUUGACAUUUGAGUUCUCAAAACAGAAAAAAAAGAAAAGAAACAAGGGAGGAAGGAAGGAAAGAAAGAAAGAAGGAAGGAAGGAGGGAAAGAGAGAAAGAGAAAAGAUAAGAAAGAAAUGAAACUUCUAUGCAUUUUUUCCUCAGGAAUUUGCUAGAGGAUGUGCUCCACCAGAAUUAUGUAAAAGGAAGCCCCAGGAAACAUUAGGAUCCAAUACCAGACAAUAACAAAAAGAAGCCCCAGAAUGUCCACCACACUGCAAGCUCAGAGACCUGUCAACUAGACAGGAGAAAGAGGAAGGAGGGCUCUAGGACGGCAGUCUAAAGAAAUAAAGGAAAAAGGGGAGAAAGACAAAAAGAAAGGAGAGAAGGA